GCAUUGCUGAGGAGUUCCACAAUAGGACGAAAUGGCCGUCCAGUGC
rfam:Schistosoma margrebowiei strain Zambia genome assembly, scaffold: SMRZ_scaffold0000425